AGAGUUUGAUCAUGGCUCAGAACGUACGCUGGCGGCACGCCUUAUACAUGCAAGUCGAACGGAGUAGCAAUACUUAGUGGCAGACGGGUGAGUAACAUGUGGGAAUCUUCCCUUUGGUGAGGAAUAACACGAGGAAACUUGUGCUAAUACCUCAUAAGUCUUUACGGAGAAAGCUUUAUGCGCCAAUGGAUGAGCCCGCACUUGAUUAGUUUGUUGGUGGGGUAAUGGCCUACCAAGACUGUGAUCAAUAGCUGAUCUGAGAGGAUGAUCAGCCACAUUGGGACUGAGACACGGCCCAAACUCCUACGGGAGGCAGCAGUAAGGAAUCUUGCACAAUGGAGGAAACUCUGAUGCAGCGAUGCCGCGUGAGUGAAGAAGGCCCUUGGGUUGUAAAGCUCUUUCGUCGGGGAAGAAAAUGACUGUACCCGAAUAAGAAGGUCCGGCUAACUUCGUGCCAGCAGCCGCGGUAAUACGAAGGGACCUAGCGUAGUUCGGAAUUACUGGGCUUAAAGAGUUCGUAGGUUGUUAAAAAAGUUGGUGGUGAAAUCCCAGAGCUUAACUCUGGAACUGCCAUCAAAACUUUUUAGCUAGAGUAUGAUAGAGGAAAGCAGAAUUUCUAGUGUAGAGGUGAAAUUCGUAGAUAUUAGAAAGAAUACCGAUUGCGAAGGCAGCUUUCUGGAUCAUUACUGACACUGAGGAACGAAAGCAUGGGUAGCGAAGAGGAUUAGAUACCCUCGUAGUCCAUGCCGUAAACGAUGUGUGUUAGACGUUGGAAAUUUAUUUUCAGUGUCGCAGCGAAAGCAUUAAACACACCGCCUGGGGAGUACGACCGCAAGGUUAAAACUCAAAUGAAUUGACGGGGACCCGCACAAGUAGUGGAGCAUGUGGUUUAAUUCGAAGAUACGCGCAGAACCUUACCAACACUUGACAUGUUUGUCGCGACUCUAAGAGAUUAGAGUCUUCGGUUCGGCCGGACAAAACACAGGUGCUGCAUGGCUGUCGUCAGCUCGUGUCGUGAGAUGUUGGGUUAAGUCCCGCAACGAGCGCAACCCUCACUUUUAGUUACCAUCAUUUAGUUGGGUACUCUGAAAGAACUGCCAGUGAUAAGCUGGAGGAAGGUGGGGAUGACGUCAAGUCCUCAUGGCCCUUACGUGUUGGGCUACACACGUGCUACAAUGGCAUUUACAAUAGGAAGCAAAAUGGCGACAUUAAGCAAAUCCUAAAAAAAUGCCUCAGUUCGGAUUGUACUCUGCAACUCGAGUACAUGAAGCUGGAAUUACUAGUAAUCGCGGAUCAGCGCGCCGCGGUGAAUACGUUCCCGGGUCUUGUACACACCGCCCGUCACACCAUGGGAGUUGGUUCUACCUUAAGGCAAAGCUUAAAAACUUUGACCACGGUAUAGUCAGCGACUGGGGUGAAGUCGUAACAAGGUAGCC
rnacentral:rRNA from 1 species